rnacentral:lncRNA from 1 species
UAAUUUGGUAGAUCCCUUGGAUCCCUUAUAAAAAAUAUAAUUUUGUUUGCAAAAUUAUUAUAUUAUAUAUAAUAAAUAUGUAUGUUAUACUAAAAAUAUUAUAUUUUAUUAGUCGUGUCUUUGCCGUGUCCGUAUUCUUAUAUUUUGAACUUUGCUCAGUGGUGUCGUGUCCCGUAUUCCAUGUCCGUGUCCGUGGAGGAAUUCUACACUGUCAUACUUGCACCACAUCAUCAAUAACAAGUCAAUCACAUUUGUUCUUUUCAAAUAAAAAGUACAAUAAAAAUAUUUUUUUUUAUAAUCAUGAUGGGACAUAUACCUCUAAAAGAAGAUAUUUGAUUGAUUUGUUACGCCACGUCAUCAAUAUACCCGUUGCAUUCUAGAAUUUUUCGUGUUCGUGACACAUAGCCCG